rnacentral:tRNA from 3 species
GUUAAGAUAGCUUAAUAAGAGUAUAGUACUGAAGCUACUAUGGUGACAACUAAUGUCUUUUAACA